AAAUUUCUUAGCCGCACGAACCUCUUCCCUCGCCCGAAUCAUAUUCCUAUGCCCAGCACCACCCACGUGACGUUGUCUCUCUGUUCAGCGCCAUUGAGUGACGCUCCUCCAUCUGCCUAGCACCGCCACUCCUCACAAACUCAUUGAAUAGAGUAGCUAAGCUUUGAAUCCCGCGAAGACCCCCCUCCUCCCUUUGCAAGUAACCCAUGUCGCCCGCCCUCUGCCCAGCACCACCUCAAGACGCUAUCCUUUUGUUCAAUGCCACCCAUCAAAACUCAUCUGUCUGCCCAACGCCGCUCCUCCCUACGAGCUCAUUUAACUCACCAAACCAGCAACACUACUCCGGUGGAGCUCUAUUUUGCCGCCGCUCCUGCUCAGCUUCGUAGGUAUUGCGGCUUAGGGCAUGGAGAAAAAUAUUGUUCUUUGGUGAUGUGUUGGCAUUUCACAUCCACUUGGAUUUUCUUUCUUGGAGUCUAGUGAGAUUGAUCUAUCCGAAUUUCAAGAAGUUUGUGUUGAUGGUAAUGGUGGUGAUGGAAAUGAUGGCACUACCCAAGAUGAUGCUCAACCCAGCAACUCUGCAGCUGAGCCAACUUCUAGGAAUGCCAGUGAGAUCACAUUUAUAGAUUAAUUAUAUACAUUGUUAGAUAUAUCCUACUAUUGAUCGAGUUUGAUGCUGUGAGGUGGUUUCUUUGCAAGCCUUUUUCUUUUUUCCUUUUUUUUUUUUUCUUUUAUGUGAACUUUCUUUUUUUAAGCAAGACCAUUAUGCUUUCUACGAAGUUUUUUUUCCCCAGAUUUUCUCUUGAGCAUCAGAUUGGCAAUGGAGGAGGCACUUAUCUUUGGUUGCCUUUUAACAUUAUGCGGGAAGUCCGUUGUUGAAAUAUGGUAGUAGGAUCAUUUAAGAUGAUGCUAGUAAUAUCAGUGCUAUAGCCUAUAGUUAGGCUUGUUAGUUGCAUUUAUUUGUUUGUUGAUUUGUUUUUUGACACUUGGUUUUGGGAUAGUUUAUAGGGUUCUAUCUUGUAAACCCUCAAGUGUACGAAUAUUUGUUGGGAAUGGAC